GAUGUACGCUGGCGGCGUGCUUAACACAUGCAAGUCGAACGAUGAAGCCCAGCUUGCUGGGUGGAUUAGUGGCGAACGGGUGAGUAACACGUGAGUAACCUGCCCUUAACUCUGGGAUAAGCCUGGGAAACUGGGUCUAAUACCGGAUAGGAGCGUCCACCGCAUGGUGGGUGUUGGAAAGAUUUAUCGGUUUUGGAUGGACUCGCGGCCUAUCAGCUUGUUGGUGAGGUAAUGGCUCACCAAGGCGACGACGGGUAGCCGGCCUGAGAGGGUGACCGGCCACACUGGGACUGAGACACGGCCCAGACUCCUACGGGAGGCAGCAGUGGGGAAUAUUGCACAAUGGGCGCAAGCCUGAUGCAGCGACGCCGCGUGAGGGAUGACGGCCUUCGGGUUGUAAACCUCUUUCAGUAGGGAAGAAGCGAAAGUGACGGUACCUGCAGAAGAAGCACCGGCUAACUACGUG
rnacentral:rRNA from 1 species